rnacentral:rRNA from 1 species
UACGUAGGGGGCAAGCGUUGUCCGGAAUCAUUGGGCGUAAAGAGCUCGUAGGCGGUGUGUCGCGUCGGCCGUGAAAACCUGCAGCUUAACUGUGGGCUUGCGGUCGAUACGGGCAUCACUGGAGUUCGGCAGGGGAGACUGGAAUUCCUGGUGUAGCGGUGAAAUGCGCAGAUAUCAGGAGGAACACCGGUGGCGAAGGCGGGUCUCUGGGCCGAUACUGACGCUGAGGAGCGAAAGCGUGGGGAGCAAACAGG